UACAUACUCCCUCUGUCCGAAAAUACUUGUCAUCAAAAUGGAUAAAAAGAGAUGUAUCUAAAACUAAAAUACGUCUAGAUACAUUUCCUUUUAUCCAUUUUGAUGACAAGUAUUUUCGGACGGAGGGAGUAUUUG
rnacentral:pre_miRNA from 1 species